rnacentral:misc_RNA from 1 species
AACGGUCUAUACCUGCGGUACCUGCGGAAGGAUCAUUAACUAAAAACCUUAGAAGGGUUCUUAACCCCUAUAAGGUGUCCAUUCGGUGUCACCAUCUAAACAGUGGUGGCAUUCGAACCAAUCUGCGGUAGAUUUGAUGUCCGGCCCUUCUUUUUUUUCUUAAAAAAAAGAGGGUUUAGAUAACUAUCAAAUGUGGAAUGAAAAGGUAGAUGAAGCUACCCUACUAGUUUAUUAAAGUGA